rnacentral:rRNA from 1 species
UACGGAGGGGGCUAGCGUUGUUCGGAAAUACUGGGCGUAAAGCGAACGUAGGCGGCCUGGCAAGUCAGGGGUGAAAUCCCAGAGCUCAACUCUGGAACUGCCGUUGAAACUGCUAGGCUUGAAUCCUGGAGAGGCGAGUGGAAUUCCGAGUGUAGAGGUGAAAUUCGUAGAUAUUCGGAAGAACACCAGUGGCGAAGGCGACUCGCUGGACAGGUAUUGACGCUGAGGUUCGAAAGCGUGGGGAGCAAACAGG